GAUGAACGCUAGCGGGAGGCUUAACACAUGCAAGUCGAGGGGCAGCAUAGGGUAGCAAUACUCUGAUGGCGACCGGCAAACGGGUGAGUAACGCGUAUGCAACCUACCCUGUACAGGGGGAUAACCCGGAGAAAUUCGGACUAAUAUCCCGUAAUAAUAUCCGGAGGCAUCUUUGGAUAUUUAAAGUUUCGACGGUACGGGAUGGGCAUGCGUAACAUUAGCUGGUUGGUAAGGUAACGGCUUACCAAGGCUAUGAUGUUUAGGGGUCCUGAGAGGGUGGUCCCCCACACUGGUACUGAGACACGGACCAGACUCCUACGGGAGGCAGCAGUGAGGAAUAUUGGUCAAUGGGCGCAAGCCUGAACCAGCCAUCCCGCGUGCAGGAAGACGGCCCUAUGGGUUGUAAACUGCUUUUCCAGGGAGAGAAACUUACGCACGUGUUGCGUGACUGACGGUACCCUGGGAAUAAGCAUCGGCUAACUCCGUGCCAACAGCCGCGGUAAUCACGAGAGUA
rnacentral:rRNA from 1 species